GUCGUAAUCGAAUGCCGUCCAUAGUCUAAUGUGUGAAGAGCGUGAACACUCGCUGUUUCAACACUGCUGAUCAUGGGGUUGGUGAAAGUACACGUCGAAUAUUGUGACUCGUGAGGGUACGGUGGUCGGUACCAGGAGCUUCGCAAGGCCAUCCUUGCUGAGGUACCUGAUGCCGACGUCACUGGAGCUGUGGGACGUUCCUCUUCCUUUGAGGUAACGAUAAACAGCGAAGUUGUCUUUUCCAAGUUGAAGACACAUGGCUUCCCUGACGCAAAUGAUGUAAUCAGACAGGUCCAAGCUGCUCAUAAGGGGGAGACCACGACAGAGAUUACCGAUUCUCAGUCCCCAGGCUGUACCAUUCUCUAGAACAAUAGGGGUCACAGCCUCACCGGAAUAUCCCAUUCCAACAUUGGGAGCCCUUCAACACCAUUCACAUUACCUUCUACAUCAUCCUGACUGACCUCUGUAUCUUCAGUGGACUCUACCAUAUGCAUCUGUGCCUAACAUAGACUUCAUCUAUGAGCAAUGUUAAAACUGUAACUAAUAAUCCAAGUUACUCAUUUUAAAUAGAGCACAUAUGUUCUGAUGUUGGUAAAAGUAUGAUCAGAAUUUGUAAUUAUCUAGUAAUUGAUAACAAUGUCCCACUUACUACUUUAUAUAAUAGUGAAUUCAGAAUACUUUGACCAUUGUUUGAUAUAACAAGCUCAUUAAGGAUUUUGAAACAAGAACAGUAUUUAUUAACUAAUAUUUGAAUCUGUGUCCUGAAAUUUUAAACACACAUCAUUGGCAUGUCACAACAAAAAUAUGCCUUUCGUUUAAAUGUAAAAACAGAAAAUAUCAAUGUUAAUUGUGAUAAAUGUAUGAAAUCAUUUUUUUUUGGUGAAUAUUGAUGCAGCAAGAAUGAAAAUAGCAUGUAUGCUUAUGCGUACAAGAAGAAAAUUGUGAAGAGUCAGUAGCUAUAAAAAUGCAACUUUGUCCUUUUAUGUGUUUUUGAGAUUAUUUCAAUCCAUAUUAUUACAGUGGCGACUGAACUCCACUAACUUAUCAUUUCAAAACAGAUGUUGGCAGACUUUCAUCUACAGUUGAAAAUUGUGAUGUCAUAAAUAAUUGAUAAUUCAUUCAUUUGAUUCACAUAGAGGAUAAUUUAUUCAUGUUGUCAAUAAAUAUUGUUUCGAUCAGUAUAAAAAAAAGUAUCGUCCAAGUCGAAAUUCUUCAGUCAAGGGAAAUAACUCUUAGAUAUUUUGCUUAUUUUUUCCUGAAUAUGAGUUUUGUGAUAAAUAGCAUCUUACACUUGAGUUUAAUUAUGCAAUAUUUGAACUAAUUUGAAAUAAGUUUGUUUUACAUUUGAAAUUCAUUUCAUGGUCCUGUAUGUACAAGGUGUAAUUGUGUAUGUGAUCAAGGGUUUGUCCCAUUUAAAAACUGAUGUAAAUAUUUUCUUUAAUUUUCUCCAUGGUUGAGAGCUGGUGAGUCGCCCAUGAUAUUAAAACGCCACAGUCUUUUAGAAAGGCGUCUUAGUGGAUACAAUGAUAAAAUCAGCUCUCACCUUGGGAUAAAAUUGCAGAAAACUCUACCUCAGUUUUGUAUAGGACUGUAUGGUAUUAUCAAUUCAUGUACAUAUAUAUAUAUAUUUCUUUUUUCUUUUUUAUGUAUCAAAAAUAUCUAUAGAUUAGAACAUUUCUAGAUUAUAAAGAUCAAAAGAUAUCCGAGUGACCCAAUAUUUAGUGAUAAAACAUGUUCACAAGAUUUAGAGUACAAUGUGUAUUUAAAGGUGCUACAUCUCUGACAAAGGGCAAUCAUUGAUAAAAACAAGAAUAGGCUAUUGUAUGUUUUUACACAAUACUUAAAGUUACAUGUACAUUCCAAAAAAGUGAGCUACUGCAUAUAAGAAUGUCUUCUGUGAGAAUAAAUAAUUGCAUAUUUAUCACAUAACUGGCCCGUUCUGCUGUGUCAUAAAUAUCACCAGACACAUGUGUAAUAACACUAUUGUGACGCCAAAUGGCUUGUAGCAUAGCCACUCAUUAAGGCACUCUAUAUAAACAAUGUCCAUUGUCAGCAAUGUAGCAUCUUAAUUACUAACAAUCAUUAAAUAUUCUUAAUAGUUUUAGUGAUAAAUAACAUCCAGCAUAUGAAUCUACAUUUUAAAUAAACAAAAAAAUAGAUAUUUGACAUUAAGGAAAAAUACCAUUUAAAUAUUCUAUGAGUACCCAAUCCAAUAUCCAUUUAACAUAAACCUUCCAUGAAGUAAAAUAACCAAUUCCAUAAAAAGGAAAAAAUCAAUUUGAAAAUAUAUAAAAAUAUUACUCUGUAUAUAUAUAUUGACAUGUCUGAAUUUGGUAGCUACUUUGAGUGUCAACUGUUUACUAGUCGAGCUGUUCCAUCCAAUGUGAUUAAUUCUGAUGAUAAACAACAAGCAAUUUACCGCUGUUCUUCCAAACGGCGACACUUGCACACAUUAUAUCUAGUUGCUGUGCUCUGACCAAAUUAAAUUUGGUGGUCGAGUCAUAGUUGAUUUGAUAUGUUUUUUCUCGUUUUCUCGUUUCUUUACACAUGUGCAUUACAUGUUACAAAAAUGAGUUAAAUCUUAUAGUAAGAUCAGUCACUAUAUAUAGUUGACACUCAAAGUAGGUCAUUGCACAUAUCCAGAAAUAAGCCGAGGAAGUCAACUUAUGUCGUUGGUGGUCCAUGUAGAUAAUAUGGGUUUAUUCCAGGGAUUAAAACAUGAGCAAGGUCACAGGCACCGGUUUCUGGUUAGUAUUAAGAGAAAAUAAAUAUCAGGCCCUACUCCUACUAGAUCUUAAAAGUGUUACACCUUGUUGAUAUAGUAUGAGUAGGGUCUUAUAUUUUUUUCUAUUAAUAUUAACCAGAAGCCUGUGGCAGAUUAUAUCUGUAUCUACUUUUUGACAUGCCGGAUAAAAAUAAUCUUUGCUCUAAAAAAUGAGCUUUGAACAACCGAGUACUUGAUAUUCUGCAAGAAAUCCUUGGGGAAAAUAAGAGUAUUGCUAUAAUUUUUGUUCUAUCUAGUCAUGUAAUAUUAUUUGAAUUAAAGAUAUUGUAAUUUU